GACGAACGCUGGCGGCGUGCUUAACACAUGCAAGUCGAACGGAAAGGCCCUGCUUUUGUGGGGUGCUCGAGUGGCGAACGUGUGAGUAACACGUGAGUAACCUGCCCUUGACUUUGGUAUAACUUCAGGAAACUGGGGCUAAUACCGGAUAGGAGCUCCUGCUGCAUGGUGGGGGUUGGAAAGUUUCGGCGGUUGGGGAUGGACUCGCGGCUUAUCAGCUUGUUGGUGGGUUAGUGGCUUACCAAGGCUUUGACGGGUAGCCGGCCUGAGAGGGUGACCGGCCACAUUGGGACUGAGAUACGGCCCAGACUCCUACGGGAGGCAGCAGUGGGGAAUAUUGCACAAUGGGCGGAAGCCUGAUGCAGCAACGCCGCGUGCGGGAUGACGGCCUUCGGGUUGUAAACCGCUUUCGCCUGUGCCGAAGCGUGAGUGACGGUAAUGGGUAAAGAAGCACCGGCUAACUACGUG
rnacentral:rRNA from 1 species